rnacentral:rRNA from 1 species
UCCCUAGAUGUUCUGGGCCGCACGCGCGCUACACUGAACAGUUCAACAAGUCUUAACCUUGGCCGAUAGGUCUGGGUAAUCUUUGAACGCUGUUCGUGAUUGGGAUAGACCUUUGCAAUUAUGGGUCUUCAACGAGGAAUUCCUAGUAAACGCAAGUCAUCAGCUUGCAUUGAUUACGUCCCUGCCCUUUGUACACACCGCCCGUCGCACCUACCGAUUGAAUGGUCCGGUGAAAUCUCGGGACGGCGGCUUGGUCGCUUGCGUCCGACUGCUGAAACUUGAUUAAACCAUNUNAUUUAUNGGAAGGUGAANUCGUANCA